rnacentral:lncRNA from 1 species
AGAAAAUUUUUUUAAAUAAUUUAUUAAGCUAAGUCCGUUUAUUAAGUUUUAACUUUUUCAUUUGAUUUUCAAUUUUUUUCAUUGAACAUGCAUUUUUAUGUUUACUUACUUUAGUUGCUUAUUUUAUUAUUGUUGCUAAUCAUCAAUUUUAUUCAUUGUGUUACUGGCUUAUGUUAAUUCAUAUCUCAUUAGUUAUUUCAAAAUAUUAUUUUUUAUACAAUGCUCACCUAAUAAUUUACUGAUGAAUAACAAAAAUUUGUUUUAUUAUUAUAUUAAAUUUUUCAUUAUCUGGAUUUUUUUAAAUAAAUUUCUUAUAUAAUUUUAUUAAGUUAAUACAAAUAAUACAAAAAUUGUAAUUAAUUGUUUUAUUCUUAUUUUAAACUAUAAAUGACAUCCUAAGUCAAUGAUUGUAUUAUUUACUUGUUUGACAAACAACGCAAGAAGAGAGCUUGUCAAGGUGCAGUGUUCUUGUUGCUCAAGUUUAGAUUCAUGAUGCUAUUGUUUUAAGAGUUCAACAAGAAAAAAUAUAUUUCAAAUAAUGUGUGUAUUUUUACCAGGGAUGCGGAGUUCGGAGUCCAUGGAGUCCCACUUUUAGCCUGGAGUCCGGAGUCUCGGGAGUCCAUAACAAUUUUAGGACUCCGAGAUUCUUUUUUUAUUUUUUUUAAUUAUUUAUAUGCUUAAAAAAAAACCUGAUGGUCUUGUCACAAAGCACUGCAGAAGAGCACUUAACCUGGAAGUUCACCUCCUUCCUUACCAAUUUCGUUUAUUUGGCCAGAUUAAGUACGGUUUGUAAUUCCCUACUUAUAUGCAGUUAUUUUUUAGAUAACAUUUUAAAUUUGAGGAUGAAUAAAUGGCAAUAUGCGAAACGUCACAUGACAAAUGCUUGUUAAGAGAAUAAAGAUAACUUUUAAAAAGUGCAAUAAAACUAUUUUAUAUAAAAACAUAGUAGCGUAUAUUGUUUUUUAACUUGUAAGAACACAAACUAUGUAGCUUGCCGAAAAUAAUGUGUAUAAUUCAACAUUUUCUUAUUUUAUAACUUAUAAAGUUUAACAAACACGUUAGUCAUGGAAUAUAUUAUGUUCAUUUUGUACAUUGCUAACAAAAUGAAAAUUCUAAUUUCAAUAACGCCUUCUGAAAAAUUGCAAUGAAAGCGUUAUGGUUUAGAUACAAAAGCUACCAAAUUUAACUAACAAAUUAAUGAAAUGCAAUAAAAAACCAAAUUUGUCUGUACGUUUGCGCUAUAAAGUCAAACUAACGAGCUAGACAAUCGGUAAAAAACCUACUAACUAUGUCAUAAAGAAGCCCAAAGAUGCUUAUAAAAAUAUCUCAGCCAAUAAAUAAUAAUUCUUUUGCGCAACAACUCCUUUUAUGAUUAAACUUGCUUUUAGUUUUAAUGCAUUUUCCUAACUCUUAUUAAUUUAAUUCGACAUAUCAGAAAUAAUACCAGGAAACAUAUUACAAAAUUUUUUUUAACAGCGUCGUCAAUUCAUAACUAGUCAUGUUAACGAUUUUCUUAACUAUGUUUUCGUGGGUUGUUAUAAAAAUAAUUAAUUUUGUGAAGCAUAUAUAACAAAAAGCUAAUACUUUACAAGUUCACAAUAACUUGCAAUAACAACAUUCUUUCUUUAUAUUUGUGUGCAACAAUCUCGACUAGUAAUGGCCACUAACUAUGCAUCAGAUACAAUCUACAGACAUUUUCAUCGUACAAAUAAAAUUUUGAAUGGAUGUAAAGUAGUAUGCUUUAAAUGUCUUGUACCCGAAAAAAAUAAAAGUAGUGAGUUAUGCGGUAAAGAAAUUACAUGUGCCGCAAAAGCUCGCAUUAGCAACCUUAUACGACAUUUAUCUAGAAAACACGCGGAGCUCCUCAUAACGUUAGAAAAAGAAAAGUUAGAGAAAAUAUUAGAAGAAAAGAAUAAGAACCAAAAAAAUAUAGUCAUCAAAGGCAGUAGUUCACAGCAAUCCAUAUUAAAGUGUUUUGUACCUCAGCAAAUUAACUUGCAUAUAGCAAAAGAUGAAUUUUUAGAAGCAGGCUGGUUUUGGUUGAAGGACUUUCAUUCCAGGCGUUUGAUCGAGAACCUAUUCAAAAGCUUUGCGGAAAAGUUGCAUCUCACUAUGGAUUUAAAAUGAAUAGAGAUAAUAUGAGAAUUCAAAUUAGCGAUCUUGCCAAAAAGCAUCGCGAACAAAUCUAAAAUAAAAUAUCGAAAAUGUUAAUUUAUUUAAAAGUUGAUUCUACAUCAAGGCAUAUGCGCCACUACCUUUGGUAUAAAUGCGCAAUACUCGAACAAUGAUGAAAUUAUUGUGAUCAAUCUUGGCACCAUAGAUACGAAGGGAAAACAAACGGCGGAAUACACUUAAAAAAUUAUUGAAAAGUGUUUAGAUAAGUUUGGAAUCAAUAAAACUAAUAUUUUAGGCCUCGGUGUUGACAACGCAGCAGUGAAUAUAAAGUUAGUGCGCGACUUCGGCAUCAGCGCCAUUGAGGAAAUUGACAAUGACGAAGGCGAUUUUUCAGUAAAAACUGAUGAGUUUGACGAAAAUGGUAAUUCUACAGCGGACAAUGCAGCAGCAGUCUUGGCAAGUGGAGUUGCCGGUAGCAUGAGUGUUAUACAUCUUCAAAGAUGUGCUAUCCACACUUUACAGUUAGCCGUGAAUGAUGCAUUGAAGAGGCCCACAAUAAAAAAUCUUAUUAGUCAUGCGAGAGAAGUUGUGAAAACUGCAAGAAAUCCUAAGUGGAUUGACUUCUUCAGGGACCAAGCUACACAUCUCGUUCCAAUUUUAGAUCAGGCUACCCGUUGGUCUAGCCAGUUCAAUAAGAUUGAGAGUCUAAUUAAGAUUCGACCAGUAAUUCAAAAUUUGAAUAUGCAAAAAGAAGCUCCAAAAGAAUUUAAUGUGCAACCAUAUCUUUGGGGAAUGUGGGAGGAAUUGAGAGAUAUAUUGCAAAUGGCACGCGAUCUUACUAUUUGUCUUCAGCGUGAAAACAUCACAGCAGGUGAAUUCCUUUUUGAUUAGAAUUCAAUAAAGUGUGAACUUGACGGGAAGGACAGCGACUUAGCCAAAGAUUUCCGGAAAGGAAUGGAUAAUAGAGAGAUUUCGCACUACGCGAAAAUUUGUUGUUUCUUGCAGCAGUUUACGUGGAUAAUAGGCAUGGCUGUAUGCUGACAGCGACUGAAGACAAGAUAGCUGCAGCUGAUGGACUUUGGAAAAUUAAUUACAAACUUAUUCAACUGGCUAAUAAAAAUAAGAAUGAUGAACUGAACAAAACCAAAAAUACAAUAGCGUCCAACUCUUUAACAGUUCAUAUUGACUCUAGUUCAGAAAAUGAGGAAAAUGCUUCACCAGUUGCAAAGCGACGACCGAAUUUAUUUAUGCUGUGUGAACAGGAGAUUGAAGAGAAUUCUUCAGAAGAACAAAUGCAGAUUCAGCUAAAUGUAAUAGAAACAGAGUUUUGACAAGCUCUGAAAACAAUUCUGGAAAUUCGUAUAAUGUUUAAAGACAACUCCCCCAACUUAGACAAGUUUUUAAAACUUUACCCAUUAAAAGCAAUUGAGCGGUUUCCUGAAGUUUUACGGGAUGCCUGCUGAGUCGCUUCGUCGCUAGCCAUAUCCCAAGUCAGUGUUGAGCGACUAUUUUCAGUCUUAAACACAUGACUCCAGACCAUCGUAGUCGAUUUACAUCUGAGUUAAUUGACGAUAUGCUUUUUUUACGAACAAACAAAUUUUUUAUUUGAAUAUUUUUGUUGUAGAUAUUGCAAUAAUGUU